rnacentral:rRNA from 1 species
AUGGCGCGGGUGCUGGCUCUCGGCGCCGCCGCGGCUUUCCUCCUCCUGGCAGUGGCAUCGACCAUGGCGGCCGCGCAGAACUGCGGGUGCGCCGCGACCGAGUGCUGCAGCCGCUGGGGGUUCUGCGGCACCACCGGCGAGUACUGCGGCACGGGCUGCCGCUCGGGCCCCUGCACCGUGCCCGUCACCAACAACGUGUCCGUGCCCGCCAUCGUCACGCCGGCCUUCUUCGGCGCGCUCGUCGCCCAGGCCGCCGACGACUGCGCCGCCAAGGGCUUCUACACCCGCGACGCCUUCCUCACGGCGCUCGGCGGCUACCCCGCUUUCGGCCGCACCGGCUCCGACGACGACUCCAAGCGCGAGAUCGCCGCCUUCUUCGCCCACGUCAACCACGAGACCAUAAAGUUCUGCUACAUCGACGAGAUCAACGGGCCGAGCAAGAACUACUGCGACCCGACGAACGCGGAGUGGACGUGCGCCGCCGGGAAGGGCUACUACGGCCGCGGGCCGCUGCAGAUCUCGUGGAACUACAACUACGGGGCGGCGGGGCAGAGCCUCGGCUUCGACGGGCUCAACGACCCGGACGCGGUGGCGCGGAGCCCCGUCCUGGCGUUCCAAGCGGCGCUCUGGUACUGGAUGAACAGCGUGCACGACAUCAUCGUCUCCGGCCAGGGGUUCGGCGCCACCAUCAGGGCCAUCAACGGCGCGCUCGAGUGCAACGGCAAGAACCCCAGCGCCGUCAACGACCGCGUCGCCUUCUACAAGCAGUUCUGCCAGCAGUUCGGCGUCGACCCGGGGACCAGCCUCACCUGCUAA